rnacentral:rRNA from 1 species
GAUGAACGCUCGCGGCGUGCCUAAUACAUGCAAGUCGAGCGAACAGACGAGGAGCUUGCUCCUCUGACGUUAGCGGCGGACGGGUGAGUAACACGUGGAUAACCUACCUAUAAGACUGGGAUAACUUCGGGAAACCGGAGCUAAUACCGGAUAAUAUAUUGAACCGCAUGGUUCAAUAGUGAAAGACGGUUUUGCUGUCACUUAUAGAUGGAUCCGCGCCGCAUUAGCUAGUUGGUAAGGUAACGGCUUACCAAGGCAACGAUGCGUAGCCGACCUGAGAGGGUGAUCGGCCACACUGGAACUGAGACACGGUCCAGACUCCUACGGGAGGCGGCAGUAGGGAAUCUUCCGCAAUGGGCGAAAGCCUGACGGAGCAACGCCGCGUGAGUGAUGAAGGUCUUCGGAUCGUAAAACUCUGUUAUUAGGGAAGAACAAAUGUGUAAGUAACUAUGCACGUCUUGACGGUACCUAAUCAGAAAGCCACGGCUAACUACGUG